AGAUGAAGAACGUAGCGAAAUGCGAUAAGUAAUGUGAAUUGCAGAAUUCAGUGAAUCAUCGAAUCUUUGAACGCACCUUGCGCUCCUUGGUAUUCCGAGGAGCAUGCCUGUUUGAGAGUCAGUUUAUUCUCAGCCCCUCCAGCUUCUGUGUGAGCUGGCUUGGUGGUUUGGAUGUGGAGGUCUGCAGGUGUCCCACCUUAUUGUGGGGUGUCUGCUCCUCUGAAAUGCAUUAGCAGAACUGUUUGUAAUCUGUUGACUGGUGUGAUAAUUAUCUACGCCAAUGAAGAUUGCUCUCUGGAUGUUCAGCUUCAAACCAUUUUUCACUGUGUGUGAUAUAUAUGAACCUUUGACCUCAAAUCAGGUAGGACUACCCGCUGAACUUAAGCAUAUCAAUAAGCGGAGGA
rnacentral:misc_RNA from 1 species